UGCCAGCCGCCGCGGUAAUACGGAGGGUGCAAGCGUUAUCCGGAUUUAUUGGGUUUAAAGGGUACGUAGGCGGCAAAGUAAGUCAGUGGUGAAAGCCAGCAGCUCAACUGUUGAACUGCCAUUGAUACUGCUUUGCUUGAGUGCAGUCGAGGUAGGUGGAAUUCCACAUGUAGCGGUGAAAUGUAUAGAUAUGUGGAGGAACGCCGAUAACGAAGGUAACUUACUAGGCUGUUACUGACGCUGAGGUACGAAAGCUAGGGUAGCGAACGGGAUUAGAUA
rnacentral:rRNA from 1 species